rfam:Echinostoma caproni strain Egypt genome assembly, scaffold: ECPE_scaffold0000846
GCACUGCUGACGAGUCCCAAGCAGGAGGACGAAACAGCUGUCCAAUAC